GUACUGACUGCUAUCGGAUUGAUACUAAGCCAUGCGAGUCAUUGUAGUAAUACAAGGCAGACGGCUCAGUAACGCGUAGUCAACCUAACCUAUGGACGGGAAUAACCUCGGGAAACUGAGUAUAAUGCCCGAUAGAACAUUAUGCCUGGAAUGGUUUAUGUUCCAAAUGAUUUAUCGCCGUAGGAUGGGACUGCGGCCUAUCAGUUUGUUGGUGAGGUAAUGGCCCACCAAGACUAUUACAGGUACGGGCUCUGAGAGGAGUAGCCCGGAGAUGGGUACUGAGACACGGACCCAGGCCCUAUGGGGCGCAGCAGGCGAGAAAACUUUGCAAUGUGCGAAAGCGCGACAAGGUUAAUCCGAGUGGUUUCUGCUAAAGGAACCUUUUGUCGGUCCUAGAAACACCGAUGAAUAAGGGGUGGGCAAGUUCUGGUGUCAGCCGCCGCGGUAAAACCAGCACCUCAAGUGGUCAGGAUGAUUAUUGGGCCUAAAGCAUCCGUAGCCGGCUCUAUAAGUUUUCGGUUAAAUCUGUACGCUCAACGUACAGGCUGCCGGGAAUACUGCAGAGCUAGGGAGUGGGAGAGGUAGACGGUACUCGGUAGGAAGGGGUAAAAUCCUUUGAUCUAUUGAUGACCACCUGUGGCGAAGGCGGUCUACCAGAACACGUCCGACGGUGAGGGAUGAAAGCUGGGGGAGCAAACCGGAUUAGAUACCCGGGUAGUCCCAGCUUGUAAACUAUGCAAACUCAGUGAUGCAUUGGCUUGUGGCUAAUGCAGUGCUGCAGGGAAGCCGUUAAGUUUGCCGCCUGGGGAAGUACGUACGCCAGUAUGAAAC
rnacentral:rRNA from 1 species